rnacentral:rRNA from 1 species
AACGAACGCUGGCGGCAUGCCUAACACAUGCAAGUCGAACGAGACCUUCGGGUCUAGUGGCGCACGGGUGCGUAACGCGUGGGAACCUGCCCUUAGGUUCGGAAUAACUCCCCGACAGGGGUGCUAAUACCGGAUAAUGUCUUCGGACCAAAGAUUUAUCGCCUUUGGAUGGGCCCGCGUUGGAUUAGCUAGUUGGUAGGGUAAAAGCCUACCAAGGCGACGAUCCAUAGCUGGUCUGAGAGGAUGAUCAGCCACACUGGGACUGAGACACGGCCCAGACUCCUACGGGAGGCAGCAGUGGGGAAUGGUGGACAAUGGGCGAAGGGCUGAUCCAGCAAGGCCGCGUGAGUGAUGAAGGCCUUAGGGUUGUAAAGCGCUUUUACCCGGGAUGAUAAUGACAGUACCGGGAGAAUAAGCUCCGGCUAACUCCGUG